ncrna:Lytechinus variegatus (green sea urchin) microRNA lva-mir-219 precursor
UUAUCCGUUGAUUGUCCGAACGCAAUUCUUGUUGACUUUUCAUUCACAAUCAAGAACUGUGUACGGACAUCAGUGGUUGA